GACUUACCUUUGCAGGCCUGGCAGCAGGAUGCAGGCAGCGGGAGAGGUGCGGGGCAGCCUGGUUCUGGGCAGGUCAUGAGACCGCAGUAGAUCUGGCCUUCCUGACAGAGCAAACAGAACAUGGGUUCUGAUGAGGAACAGCCUCCGGGUUAGGAGAGCCCCCUGCCCUGGGGGCAAAUGGCCUUGAGGUGUCCCUUGAGGUGGGAGAGGAAAGGGGCAGUGAAGCAUCCUGGGCAAGGCCCAGCCAGCUCCCCACUCCCUCCCCAGGCCCUGAGGUAACAUCCAUCCUUCAGCUUCUAAGGUGUGUUCAGACCCUGCCUCUCCCUAGGCUCUCACAGCAACCCAGGUGAGGUGGGAUUCUUCCAUCCUAAGGUGAGGAGGGCCUGAGGGGAGGCCUGAACUGCCUGAAAUCAGAAAUGCACCCCAGCAGAGCAGACUAGAGCCCAGCCUGCAGGCUUUUCCUACUGAACUCAACACCCUCCUCCCUGACCUGGGACAGCGGGGCCCAGAGAGACGAGGGGGAUCAAUGGGACACAUGUUGGGUUCAUCUUGCUCUUAUGAAAACCCUAGGUCCCCAGCUUUAGGACCCAGCCUGGACAGGCAACACUGCAGAGAAAAGGGCCUUCUGGGCAUCAGAAGCCCGAUAACCUUUGGUGAGUCACUUCCCUUCUCUCGGCCUCACUUCCCUCCUCUGUGAAAUGGGAGCACCCCAUCUGGGUUGUGAAGAUCAAGUGAGGGAGUAGUUGUGAAAACCCUUUUUAAACGGGAAGGCACGAGGUACCUGGCAGGAAGUGAUACCAUCUCGAGUCCUUUCCUUAUGCCCUUUCCAGUGAGUCUCAGAAGGAGGCCAGGAGUCAAGCCAGUCCCAUGUAAACAAGGAGGAGAGGAAAGAAGGGGAGACCCCAGUAUCCAAGGAGAAGGGACAAGGAAUUACAAGAAUGUUCUCACCACCCCACCACCACACCAUCACUUCUGUCUCCUCCCACAGAUUCCUCCUCACUCAGGCCCUUGUCCCUUUACAGAAAGCCACGCAAUACAGGGAAGAAGGGAACAUGAAUUUUGGAGUCAUGUGGCCCCACCUCUGAAUUCUGGCUCUGCCAUUUAGCCAGCUCUGUGACCUUAGGCAAGUCGCUUAACUGAUCUGAGCCUCAGUUUCCUCAUCUGAAAAAUAAGAACAGUGAUUUCCUGCUCCUAGGGCCUGGGGGCGCUGUCUAUACGCACAAGGCAUCUCCGUGAACUGGCAGGUGCGAUGUGUGAGACUGCUGGAGGGGCCUCAGGCCCUCGAGAAGCAAUCAUUGUAGACAUCUGUGCGCCAGGCCCUGGGCCAGUAGCAGCAGAAGUUACAAAAAUGAAUUGGGCAUGUUCCCGCAUUCGAGGAGUGCAGAGUCAAUCGGAGAACACAGAAAUGGACAAAUGUGAGUACGAGGAAGGAUGUCGUCUGGACCAGACAGGCGGAGGAGAACCCACCAGACGUGCUCUCCCAGUCAAGGGCCCAGAAUACCUGGGUCCGUCAGCCUGACUAGGCACUGACCGUGUGACUUUGGGUACGUCACUGCCCCUUUCCGAACCUUAACGCUUCUCUCAUAGGGCAGUUAGGAAGGUCAAACAGUGAAAGCGCUUACAGAUUUCAAUUGUAUAAAUGUUAUUAGAUGAACAAUCUGAGGCCCAGAGAGGAUGAAUCACACCUUUAAGGUCACAUAGGACAUCAGUCACCAAGCAGGGAUGAUAGCCCAUGCGUCCCGACUCUCAGUUCAGUGCUCCUUCUGCGCCCAUAAUCACACUGGCUUCCUCUCCCUCGGUCCCAUGUUGCUUAUUUAUUUACUACAUCUCUGCACACACACACACACACACACACACACACACGCAUGCACACACCUGCACGCACACACGCACACCUUCUCUCCAGGUCCUGGGACCCACCUUUUCAAUAAAGCCACUCACAGCAGCUUUCCUGCUUUCACAGCCUACCAUGUCCUUAUCACUCAGCGAGCUGUGAUGAAAGUGUUUGAAUUGGGAAAACAAGGGCCACCUAGUGAAAGGUUCUUAGAAAGCCGAUUUUAAAUAGCCUUAAAAAUGGUCAUUGCUACUAGUAUGACUGCACGUCGAUUGGUUAUUUUUAUGAUCUGCAUAUCAGUUGUCAAUAUAUAAGGGAAUGCUUCUAAGAACGACUGAGGGGAGGUUGUUUCAUUAGGUUAGACGCCUCUCCUGCAAGCCUGCUUUCCUGAACGACCUGUGUCUCACUUCACACAGCCCAUCAGCCACCCUUCCUGCCCCGCCCGCUCUUACUGGCUCACCACACCUAGCCCUGGCUCAGGGCUCCAGGUCCGGCUUAGGGCCCCGCACCCCGCCCUGCCGCCUCUGGCCCUAUCCCUGCCACCCCCACUCCUCACAAGUAGUGGGUGAUUUUUACAAGCCAGAAGGGAUGCUAUCAUUCCUACAGGAAAAUUCUACCUAAAGAAUAAGCUACCUCUUAUAGGGUGGAAGUGGGGUGCCCAGCACAAGCGAAGUGUCCCCGAAGGUUUGUGGAAUUAAAUGAGAUUGAGAGAUGGAAAAAGGAGCCAAUAUUUACUGACUAUCUUCUCUUUUCAUAAAUUACUUAAUUACCCCAUUGACAUUAUUGUUUUGAGCAUUAAAUUGGAAAAUGCUUGUCAAGUGCCUACUUAGCCCAGUUCCUGACACUUGUUGAAUGCUAUUAUUAUGAUAAUUGUGGUCACCAUGACCCUGCAAGAUGGGUCAUCUUGAACGGAUGAUCUUGUCCCUCUAAGCAGGGUUAUUGGGAUCGUUACCAUCAUUUUGAGAAAAGCAGAUGGAAAAACUGAAGAUCCAGAGCCUGAGUGACUUGCCUAGGCCAUCCAGCUAGCAAUUGGAACCCAGGACUCCACUCUCAGGCAGGGCUCCUUGCAGUUUACCUCCCUUCUCCAUGGCUUUGUGCCCAGUCCCACAGGGGCUCCUCUCUCUGCCUCAGCGGCUGCCAUACCUUACUCCCUAUUUUCCUUCCUA